CAGUCGCCACGGGAAUACGAAGGGGGCUAGCGUUGCUCGGAAUGACUGGGCGUAAAGGGCGCGUAGGCGGCGAUCAAAGUCAGGCGUGAAAUUCCUGGGCUCAACCUGGGGGCUGCGUUUGAUACUUGGUUGCUAGAGUGAGGAAGAGGGUCGUGGAAUUCCCAGUGUAGAGGUGAAAUUCGUAGAUAUUGGGAAGAACACCGGUGGCGAAGGCGGCGACCUGGUCCUUGACUGACGCUGAGGCGCGAAAGCGUGGGGAGCAAACAGGAUUAGAUACCCGUGUAGUCCCUGUCUCUUAUAC
rnacentral:rRNA from 1 species